ensembl:lncRNA
AAAUAAUUUAAAAAAUUUUUCUCCUUAAGUCAGCUUUUCUUACAAAAUCAUUCCAGAUCUGGUCUCAGAAGAAGAUGAAAAGACAGGAAUCUAUGGGAUGUAAUUUUGAGAGGAGUCCCCUGGAAAGAACUCCCCCUCGCUUUCCUCCCUCUAGAUAUGUCAUCCAGAGGCUUUUCUUCCUGCUUUGAGUUUGCAAGGACAGCCACGAAUCCCUCCUAGCCUGCCACUUCCAGUCCUCUUCCAGAUUUCCAUGGGCAAGGCAAGGGAAUCUUCCUGACCCAGGGACUGAACUCGUGUCUCCUGCAUUGCCAGCAUGCAGAUUCUUUUGAGCUAAAACCAGUCAAGACUCCAAAGACUGAGGAUGAAACCGUGACCUUCGCUCUAACUGCCUUACUUUGCAACCCCAUGGACUGUAGCGUGCCAGGCUCCUCUGUCCAUGGGGAUUUUCCAGGCAAGUAUACUAGAGUGGAUUGCUGUGCCCUCCUCCAGGGGAUCUUCCCAACCCAGAGAUCGAACCCAGCUCUUCCACACUGCAGGCAGAUUCUUUACCAUCUAAGCCACCAGAGAAGCCCAAAAGAAUUUAGACAGAGGGCCUAUUCUUAGAGCUGUUACCAGUGAUAACUGUAAAGCAUAUGGGCUAAGUGUAGUGAACUCGGCAGAGCCUAGAGAUCAGAGUCCAUUCUGUGCCCCAUUGUCUCUUCAGGGGCCAGCAAACGUUUAUCAAACAUUUGCUUUCUGUCUCCAUGUGAAUUGCCUUCCUCUGCCUUGAAGUCCCAAACCACUAUCCCCAACAUCCUCUUUUGUCUUUAGCUGAACAUGGUAUUUAAGGUAAGGGUUUUGGCCAUUGUGGUG